rnacentral:lncRNA from 1 species
AACAGCAUAACAAAUUUUCUUGAUGACUAAUUGAUCUAUGUCCCUACCAAGAGAGAUUCAAAAGACAACAUUCAAAUAUCAACCAACUAGUAAUCAAGAAAUAACCAACAAUGGUUUCGGAACAUUAUUUCCAGUGGCAAAUGUGAUUUUGAUUGUAAGCUCUGAACAGGGAACUAUUGUGAUUGUAAGCUCUGAACGGGAACUAAAAGCAAUGCCAAAC